CUGGCUUGUGGUAAAUAAAGCAGACCACAAGAUGUCUUGGUAUCACUUCAAGCUCUGUUUUCUCUGAUUUUGGAUUUAAUGAAGAUGCAUUUAAAGGCCAUGGGAAGUACAAAUUUAGGAAUGGUAUAUGUUACAUGUAAAGUCUAUCAGGGACUGAGAUGGUCCAACAUACACACUAGGAUGUACUUGCAAAAAUUGCAUGCAGAAAUGUAGAACAGGCCUACUUAUAUUUACCUUUCAUAUUCUCUAAGUUUGGAUCAUUUUUUCUUUGUCUGUUCUCUCCUUAUCCUAACAACUUUUGAACUCCAAGUGAAAUCUGAUUUUAUUCUCCCCCCCGUCUAUUUUCUCCCCAUUUUUUCAUCCUGUACUUCUUCUGCUUGUUGAUUAGCUGAGCAAUGAACUUCGUGAUUGGAUCUGAGGUCUAAUGACGUGAAGCGGUGAAUUGGUUAGCUAGUUACAUAGCUAGCUGCUACACAGCUUGGUGGCUUCUGGAUGGCUGCUGCACUAGGAGACAACUGGAGCUUCUUCUGGCUACAGCAAUUUAAUUGUUGUGGUCAGCUGGGAGAGUGAUGAAAACAUGGAUGUCUUGUCAAAGAGCUCAUUCUAAAGGAACGGGUGCAGUUAUGCUUAGACAAAAUCAAGUAAUAGCUAUUUACACCUCAGUAGCAAUCUUUAUGCCCAACAUAUUUGAAGAGUUCAGUGUUAACUCCCAGCACCCACCUCCCUCCAAUCUAUACCUUUCCUCUGGACCUUGGAGCUAGAGAACUGGCCUAACAUCACAUAACAGGGAUUGAAUAGCCUAGGCUCUGCGUGUAUUUAAAUUACAGCCUUAAUGCUCCAUUAGCGUGCACUUCUAUCGCCUUCAUUACUUAUAUAUUUGAAUGCCUGGUAAAUAGGUUGUUCUCAUAGGGAAGAAGGAAGGGUCAUAUUUAUUUAGUGUAAUAAGAAAAUACGAGAGGAGCAGAAAAUAGAGAGCUGCCAGUAACUAUACCUAGCAUUUUGCAGCUGAGGGGGUUUGCAUCGAACAUUCAUGCCUAUUAGAACACAUCAGAUCUCAUAAUUAACUAACAGUAGUGUGGGGGAGAUAUUCCCUGGCUGAAACCAAACAGCAGCUGCAGUGUCUGUGCUGUAUCAUAUUGGGGAGCAAACCCUCAGUGUGGGGGCUUGGGAGGACAACAGCCAAGAAUAUCUUGAGCUGCAAAUAGUUCAGUCAAUGCCAGAGAUGGGUAAAAGGCAGAGAACAUUUGAGGGACAACACAGAGGGAAAGGUGGAGGUCAACAGGCAGCUACCACCAGUUUGAUUUGGAAGAGCUGAGACAGUAGGGCUGCUUCAUGUACAUGGGUAAAAUCACAGUCUCAGAAGAAGCUUACGUGUAUGAAGAAUCACUACUUUUGAUCUCUGGUGUGUAAUUGCAAGUUAGGGACACUGUGAAAUAUUACUGAGAAAUUGAGCAGAAAUUUUCAACAGCUAUACACAGUGACAUAAAUAGGAACAGGGUGAGAUCCAGGAGAGCUGAAAUUAGGGAGGAAGAUGGCUCUGGGGAUAGGUCAAAAUAGGAUUAUGAAUAAAUCCCAAAUUAGAGAUAUAUCCCUGGUUUAAGUCCCCAGGGAAGGGAAGCCCUCACCAGAACAGAAACCUCCACAGGGCAGAGGAAACUGUUGAGCCGCGAGUGCUGGCCAUUACUGCCAGGUAUUUGUGGCACCGGCUGGUGGUGGUGGUAGCGUGUGACACAUCUGCGGAACUUCUCCAUCUGAAAGUUAUGCUAUCGGGGCAAGCAGAAAGCAGAAUGAAGCCCUGACAUAAGCUUCACACCCUACUUCACCAGCAGCAGUGCACACCCUCCGCCUAAACCUCAAUUUUCAGGGCACGAACUGGGGCAACAGCACAAGAGUGGGUGACGGUGGGAUGUGACUGCUCAGCCCCUCACAGCCCCACCACUGUCACCCUGCUGCUCGCUGGACCAAUGUGCACGGGCAGGGGGUCUAGACGGGUUUGGGAGCAGCUACAGCACGACACCAGCCGACCUUUCCCCAUCCGCCCACCCCAGGGCAGUGUCGGGGGAGGCCGGGUCAGAAAAUGGCGGCCCGGAGGGCAGGUCGCGCGGCCGUGGCGGUCGGGGCGCAGGCGGCGGCUGAUGGCGGCCGGUUUCCAUGGUGACCGCGGCGGGGGAAGGGGAGAUGGCUGCAGAGACGCGAGGGGGAGCGCGGGCGGGGAGAGAUGGCGGCGGGGAUGGCGGCGCAGGGGCGGAGGCGCUGACCCUUCGCGUGGGAGGCAAAGGGCUCCCUGCAGCCCGAUGUGCUUAGGGGAUCGUGAUUUGUGUGACAACUGUAUAUAUGCCCGUGAAGUGAAUUGGUUGGAAUCAGCAUGGCGUCCACCUGGUAGCUAGAGAUACACGAAAAGGACACCACAAGUACCCGUUGGUGUCCAUUUCAGGUAGUGUCUUCCAAAAAGAGUCUUGCAUAAACUAAGGCAGCAGCAGGGAGUGCUGCAGGGAAGAAGGGGAGCACUGGAAGGGCUAUCAGACUUCCCAGUUCUUUGAAUAGCAGAUUGCGUAGCAUCUUAAGUCUAAAAUGUCUUGGAUUGAGUAGAGGUUGCCAUUCACCAUGUUGUAGUUGAGGAUCUUGAUGCCCACCAGAUGUUCAAGUCUAUAUUAAAGGUCUUCAUAGAGUCAGUGUGAAGCUUGGCUGAUUUUUGUUGAAGUAGUGAAAAAUUCCUGAAGCAUAUUGAGAGGAAUUGGUUGAAGAUGAGAGGGGUUUUGUGUCCAAGAGCUGCUUGCAAUGUGAAAGAUGGAGCCCAUGAAGAAGGUGAAAGCAUCACUCAUGAAUGAGCUACCCAAGGGAAAUUUUGUAAAAAUGGUUUGUUUGAAGAGCAGACUGUCCAAGAAACUGCUUCUGCUGUGUCUCAGAGCACUGUCAGUGUCAAAGUUUCUGCUAAGAUCUACAGUGUUUCACUCCGCUGCUGCUUCAAACCCAUGAGAAGCUUGUGUGCCUCAAUGCUCUUUUCCUCCCCAUCCAUAGAUGUCAGCCUAAUAAAAGAUGUCACAGCCAGAGGCCAGAGCUACCACAAUCCCACCCUCAUAACUCUGAGGACAGCUCUUCAAGCUCCAGGCUUUCAUGCUCCUAAGAUGGGAUCCGGUGUCUCUCCCAUGACUUGCCUUCAUCCUUCCGUUCCAGUUGCCUGUGAUCCCAGCUGGUCCUGGCUCAGCAGGCUUCCUGCGUGGCCCUGCACCCAUACAGACUGUAAUCAUCUUUGUAGCAUAUUGUUCUGGGAUCAGCACCCUUGGGGAUACAUUAGUAUGGCGAUUGACGGAAAGAAGCUGGAGAGGGAAACCGAAGUGAACCCAGCCAAGGCAAGAUAAGCUUCUCAGCCAUGCUGGCAGAUUUCUUUUGCCUUCUUCCCUACACUCCUGCAGCGAUUCAAGCACAGACUGAGUUUAUUCAGCUUCCAAGAUGGCAAGGUGCUUGUUCAAAAGGUGUUUUAUUGUGUGGAGCCAGAGGAAACAUGAGGAACAAUCAGAUACCAGCGGCACAUUAAGAUGUGUCAUUGACACAUUAUGUCAAUGAGAAGGAGUGAAUCCAGGUUCUCUUUUUAGGGACAUUAUGUUCUAAGGCAGGCACAUAAAUCUGACUCAAAUGCCUUGCUUGUUGAAUCUGAAUCCAGUUUAUUCCUGACUACCACUGAAAUCCAGGUCCGAUUUUUCUUUUUAUUUGCACUUGUAUUAACAAAAGAAAGGAGCUGACACAUCUGUCUAGCUGCAGCAGUAUGCUUACCAUUGUACCUAAUGUUGUCUAAAGGAGGUCUCCUGCCUCAGGGAACUAGGAGCCCAUAGGCCUGAUAUGAUAAGAUGCAGAGCACCAUUCAAGACACACUUCUGCUGACUUUGGUGGUGAAAAAGUCUGCAUGCUCACUGGAAGGGCAAGUGACGUAGCACUGCCUUAGGUUAAAAGACAUUGUAUGAUGAACUACCUGCAAUUAACAGUGAAGGCAGCAGUAAAGCUGUGGGAAUGAAUCCUACUCUUGUCAGGAACAUUGCAAAGAAGAUCCUGCUAGCUCAGGUUCCUCUCCAUUUUGGACAGUCAGAGAGAAAUCCCAGAUCAGCUUUGCUCAUACCCAAGAGCAAUAGCUUUCUCCACAUCAUUUGAAAAAUGAGUACAACAUAAAAUAAAGUUCAGAUUCUUCUGGCACCUUCUUUUGCUGUAUACUUCUUGCAUUUGUUAGUACGCUUUUGUCAAAGGUGCUGUACACAGAGAAUACACAAGAAACCUCACCCUAUCUCUUGCCC